CCUCAGUUAGCCUUUUUGAGGCAAUGCCAUUUCUAGAGUUGAAAAAGCCCUGGACCCAAACUGCUGCACUGUUGAAUAAAGGGCAGUCCUACUCCUGUCCUUUUAGAGCUGCUUGGUGUGACACACAGGCUGUGCCCAGUUCCGCAGGAGCCGUCCCACAGUGUGGCUCUCUGGAUUCUCCCGCUUGUCCUCCUUGGAAGGAGCUCUUGCUGGCCAGUGUUUGGAGGGGAGGUUGAGUGCCUGUCACUGAGGCUCCACCAUGGUUGGCGUCUGAAGCUGGGCAGUCGUCAGGCCUGUGCUGAGAGCCGCAGCCCCUGUGCACACCUAACACAGGGCGCUCCCCCUGCUGCUUCCCUGGCUCAGUUCUUCGGAGCUCCAGAGUGAGAAGGCCGCUUAGUCCUUUUUCUCUGGGUGAUGCCCUUAGAAUAACGCUAUAUACAAUGUAACUCACAAUGUUCCAGGACCAAAGGCUUGAUGGAGGGGCUAGAGGCGACCCUUGUUGUAAAAGGCAAUCAGAACACCUGAGGGAGGAAGGAGCUUGCAGUUUUCCCAGCCCUUCUCGCUGCCAAGGCAGCAGUGGUGCUGUGGAUGGGCUGGGGACUGCUGGGCAGAGCCUGCUACUGCUUGGGAGUUGGUGCUGCCCUGUGGCAUGGAGGGGUGGGAGGGACUGAGGUGGCUGCUGGCCUGGCCUCCAAGAGUUCUGGACAGGAGGCAGACACUGCCCAGAUGCUGGGUGGAGGGACAGUGAUGGCCUUUGACGCGUGAGGCCUGGGGAAGAGUUUCAAAGGUCUCACCAAGUAAGAGUGAUUUCCAGUUUCUCUUCUUUCAGUUGUGUGAAAAAACUGGCCUGGGUUCCAUUAGCAAAUUAAAUCAUCUUCAGUCUUAAAUUAGCGACCAGAACGAUCUUCAGGAUAAAAAGAACUUCUGAAUCUCUGCAAUAGGAAAUGUUUUGAUUAUGCAAGUGCUUUUCCAGCCAAAUGUCUGUGCUGUCUGUGUCACUGAGGGCCACAGGUUCCUCUAACAUCUGUCACUGUCACUUCACCAGGCAGGCCUUGGAGUUCCAUGACAAAAUCACUUUUGUCAGACAAAGAAUGUAUCCUUUACUUUUCUCAAAUGGAAUAAAAUGAUUUCUUCUGUGAAGGAAAA